UAUUUCCUAAGGUGAGAUAGUAGAGAAAAUUUAACAGUGGAAAAGGGUGAGUGGUCAGUUCGAAUAUUGCAACAGAGAUUUCUGAGACAAUGUCCUCAGGAGACCUCCAAGGAGAAGGUCAGCACAUGUUUAAAGAAAUGUCUGAGGUCAAGAGAAAGAAGAAAAUAUAGUUUACAGGUUUCCUGUAUAUCAGAGAGGACUCCUGUAGGAUCCUCCACGAUGUUCCAUUCAUCUUUCCCUUCUGUAAACAAAAGUAGGUGUCUUCCUUAUUCGCUUUCAAAAAGACAUCUAUCCUUUCAGUUCCUCACUCUGGCCAUGGACAUUUCCAUGUGAAAAUACACAUAGUGCGUCUCACAGUCACUAGAUACAAAGCCAUGGACAGAAAUGAGGCCCGGUGCAGACGGGGCCAAUUGAAAAGAUGAAAGAAGAAAACAAUGACAGGUUCCAGAAGGCAACAUUGAUUGAGUGAAAGGAUAAGAAGCCGCAGUCAGUCAGUCAGGAGGUGAUUCUGACUAAGGAAGGACAGAAAGGAUUACAUUACUUCUGAUGGAGAGAGAAUUCAGUUUCUCAGAGAGAAGACAGGACAUCAUUUAUCACUUUCGUGAUGGAACUGAUGUUUGUUCUCCGUCCGCUGGGAGCGCAAUUUCUCGUUGAUUUCUAGAGUGUUCAUCUCCGCCUUCUUAUUGGACCAAGGGCCCGCAGAUACCACCAUGCUGAUGUUUGUGGCAGAAGACGUGGAGUCAGG